GGACUACCGGGGUAUCUAAUCCUGUUUGCUCCCCACGCUUUCGCACCUCAGCGUCAAUGUUGGCCCAGGUCGCCGCCUUCGCCACUGGUGUUCCUCCCGAUAUCUACGAAUUUCACCUCUACACCGGGAAUUCCACGACCCUCUUCCACAUUCAAGCUCGCCAGUUUCGAAUGCACUUCCUCGGUUGAGCCGAGGGAUUUCACACCCGACUUAACGAGCCGCCUACGUGCGCUUUACGCCCAAUGAUUCCGAGCAACGUUUGCACCCUCCGUAUUACCGCGGCUGCUGGCAC
rnacentral:rRNA from 1 species